rfam:Bacteroides pyogenes JCM 6292 DNA, contig:contig_49.
UUUGCCCCGAGAAAUUCCGGUGUCGUCUUUCCAUUUCCACGGAACAGACGGUGAAAAGGGAAUCAGGUGUAAAUCCUGAACAGACCCGCUGCUGUAAGCUCCACCACAAAUUUCCCGAUAAUACUCAACAUCCACUGCCUGUUGAACAGGCGGGAAGGGCAUCGGGGAAACGGAGCAAGUCAGAAGACCUGCCGGAAUGGAAUCUCUUAC